AAAAGCACUAUAUCUUUGGUCGCUCGCGCCUCUUCCCCAAUUCGAUCGCGUCAGAGGAAGAAGGGGAGAGAGUAGGAAAGUACUCUUCCUCUGAGUUCGUUUCUUGCUCCCAUGGCGAUUUACAGGGUGCCAAUCUGCAGUGCCUUCUUGGCGCUCCUCGUGUUCUCGUCCCUCUCGCCGGCGCGAUCGGAGGAGGGCGGAGCCGAAGGCGUGCAGGAGACGGCGGUGCUCACCCUCGACGCCUCGAACUUCUCCGAGACCGUCGCCAAAUACCCCUUGAUCGUCGUCGAGUUCUAUGCCCCAUGGUGCGGACAUUGCCAAAGACUUGCUCCAGAGUAUGAGAAGGCUGCUGCGAUACUGAGCAAGGAUGACCCUCCAGUUGUUCUCGCAAAAGUUGAUGCCAAUGAUGAGAUGAACAAAGAGCUUGCCUCUAAGUAUGAGGUGAGGGGUUACCCCACACUUAAGAUUCUAAGAAAUCAAGGAAAUAACAUCCAAGAGUACAAAGGUCCAAGGGAGGCUGAAGGUAUAGUUGAAUAUCUGAAGAAACAAGUAGGUCCUGCUUCAGUUGAGAUAAAAUCCUCAGAGGAUGUCAGCUCUCUCAUCAAGGACAAGAAAAUCUUUAUUGUGGCAGUGUUCCCUGAUUAUUCUUGCGAGGAAUUUAAAAACUUUAUGGCAGUAGCCGAGAAACUGCGAUCAGACUAUGAUUUUGGUCAUACUUUGGAUGCUAAGCUCCUUCCACGUGGGGAUUUGACAGUCAGUGGUCCUGUAGUUAGGCUAUUCAAACCAUUCGAUGAACUUUUUGUUGACUUCCAGGAUUUUCAUGGGGAUGCUUUAGAGAAUUUCAUUGAAACUGCCAGUGUGCCUAAAGUCACCACAUUUGACAAAGAUCCCAGCAACCGUCCAUUUCUCAUGAAAUUCUUCAACAAUCCUAAUACCAAAGCUAUGCUCUUUCUGAAUUUCAGCAAUGAGUAUUUUGACGCUUUUAAGUCCAAGUACUAUGAGGUUGCCGAGCACCACAAAGGAAAGAACAUAAGCUUUCUGAUUGGUGAUCUUGAUGCCAGUCAGGGUGCCUUCCAGUUCUUUGGGCUCAAAGAAGAACAAGUGCCCCUCAUCAUCUUACAAGAGACUGGCGGCCAGAAAUAUCUCAAACCAAAUUUAGAACCUGAUCAAAUUGCAACAUGGGUGGAGGAUUACCUGAGUGGCAGCUUGACGCCGUUCAAGAAGUCAGAACCCAUUCCCGAGGUUAACAAUGAACCUGUCAAGGUGGUUGUGGCUGACAGCCUUCAUGAUGUGGUUUUCAAGUCCAGGAAAAAUGUUCUGCUUGAAUUUUAUGCUCCUUGGUGUGGUCAUUGCAAGAAUCUAGCGCCUAUAUUAGAGGAAGUUGCUGUCUCAUUCCAAAAUGAUGAUGAUGUUGUUAUCGCAAAGAUGGAUGCUACUGCAAAUGAUGUCCCGAAGGAGUUUAAUGUUCAGGGGUAUCCAACUAUGUAUUUCUCUUCAGCAAGUGGCAAGCUUGUGCAGUAUGAUGGGGGUAGGACAAAAGAGGACAUCAUUGAUUUCAUACAGAAAAACAGGGAUGCAACUAUUCAGGAUGCGACUAUUCAAAAGGAUACAACUGUCCAAUCUGAGUCUCUAAAAGAUGAGCUAUGAUCAAGACAGUUGCUAAAUUCUUCACAUAACUUCCAAAAAUUAUUGGAAACCUGCAAUUCCAGAUCAAGAGGCGUAUGGUUUUUAAUAACUGAGAGUGGCAUGAUAAUUUUGUUCUUAUUACACUAUUCUAGGGGGGUGACUCCACUCCUGAAGGGGGUUGUGGCUGGGUACAGAUCUCCACAAGAGACAAAGAUCAAGAAACAUGACAGAGGAGGGUCACUUUGGCACCCAGGAGAGAUCUGAUUUGAAUUUCUAAAAAUUAUUUGCCCUGUCAAGAAGGAAAUGUAAUCUGGAUAUACCUAAGAAAUAUGACUAUCACAUGGAGGGAAGAGAAUGUGGAUGCCCUAGUGAAGGGGUAGACAAACAUCAUGAAUUAUGCUGAGAACUUUCUAUCCAAAUUUUCUCGAGUCUACCGGUACAAGGAAGAUUUCAUCUUGUAAUUCAGAUUUAGGGUUUGGAUAUCAGAUGUUCCUUCCAUGUUCUUGUUUUAUCUUGACAACUGACUUGAGUUUCUGAUGGUAAUCUAAUAGUUGCGAACCUUAGUUUUGUUUUUC